AAAUGCGAUAAGUAGUGUGAAUUGCAGAAUUCAGUGAAUCAUCGAAUCUUUGAACGCACAUUGCGCCCUUUGGUAUUCCUUAGGGCAUGCCUGUUCGAGCGUCAUUUAAACCCUUCAAGCUCAGCUUGGUGUUGGGUGACUGUCCGCCGCCCCCGGGCGUGGACUCGCCCCAAAUCCAUUGGCGGUCGGUACGUAGGCUUCGAGCGCAGCAGAAACGCGAACUCGAGCCCGCGGUGUCGGCUCCCAGAAGCCAUCUCUUUUAUUUUGACCUCGGAUCAGGUAGGGAUACCCGCUGAACUUAAGC
rnacentral:misc_RNA from 1 species